rnacentral:tRNA from 1 species
GCCUUCGUGGUGUAGUGGUCAGCACGCUCGACGCGUAACCGAGAAAACCGUGGUUCGAUUCCCGGGGAAGGCG